CCCUACGGUGCCUUCAGUCUUGUCCUAAGGGAAAUGAAGGGGUUGUCUCCUGUUCUCUGAGCAGCUGAUGGAUGGACUGACAUCCAUUCCUUCCUUUCACAGUUCCCUUGCUUCUGGAUUGCUUCAAUGAGCCCUAACGAUGCUGAUUGGCUGACUGAGCGCUGCGGUUCUGGACACGGUGACAGUUAAUACCCUAUUCCGUUCAGGGGUUCUGCAUUCUGCAGGUCCUGUUUGCAGCCCUUUUCAAGCCCAUUUCUUUCUGGUUGAGCCGCUGUUUCCUCUUUCAUGGUUUUCACCUCAUGAUCUCCAACCUCAGCUCCAAAUGUGUUUGCAGCUCAGUGGGUUUUAAGGAUUGUUGGGACUCCUCUAAUCGGUGGUGUGAGGCCUGUGGAGCAGCUAAUGGAACAUCACGACUAUGCUGACUUCCCCAGGGUGGCAGCAGAGAGCUGCAGCGCUCCCGAGUGCUGUAAGGACUGCACGGAGAGACGUGCGGGUCUUCACGGGAACAGCCAGGAACCGAAAGCUGCAUUUCCCGGGAUGCCCUGGAGCUCCACUUUGCUGACUGGUAAUUGUCUGCCCAGCAGGUAAGGACAAUGCACACCCACCAGUGUUUACCCCUUACUGAGUGAGACACAAGGUAGGGUUCCCAGAGCUCCUUUCUGCACUUCAGGGUUCCCCAAAGGCUGCCCGUCCUAUUCUUUGCACGUUCUCCUUGGCUCUGGCCUUUCACGGCGGUGUUCUCCUUCCCUUUGCCCUUGGCGUUCCCUACUACAUUCUCUUGUCCUCUUGUUUUUGCAUUCCAUGUCAUGUUGUCUUGGCCAUUGCCUUUGGCCUUCUUUGCGGCAUUCUUUUUGGCCUCCGGUUUUGGCAUUCCCUGCUGCGUUCUCUUUGGCCAUCACUUCUGGUGUUCCAUGCAGUGUUCUAUUUGGCCUUAUGUUUUUGCCAUCCAUGCCACGUUCUCCUGGCCAUCGCGUUUGACCGCCUUUGCCACAUUCUCUUUGGCGUUCCCUUCCAUGUUCUCUUUGACCUUUGCCCUUGGCCUUCUUUGCCGUGCUCCUUUCAGCCUCCUGUCGUGGCAUUCUCUGCGACGAUCUCUUUGGCCUUUGGUUUUGGCAUUCCUUGUUGCGUUCUGUUUGGCCUUUGCCUUUGGCCUUCUUGUUUUGGCAUUCCCUACAGCGUUCU
ensembl:lncRNA